GGUUGUGGCUCAGUGGUAAAGCUCUUGCCUUUCAAAUGUGAGGCACUGGGUUUGAUCCUCAGCACCA
rnacentral:tRNA from 1 species